rnacentral:misc_RNA from 1 species
GCAAACUUGGUCAUUUAGAGGAAGUAAAAGUCGUAACAAGGUUUCCGUAGGUGAACCUGCGGAAGGAUUAUUAUAAAAAGAAGAUGUCUUCCACGACAUACCUUGUGUGAAUAGUAUUAUAUACUUUGGCGGGUUUUGGAGUCGUAGCAGUAUACCGCUACGCGCAAGGAGACCUGCCAAAGUCCAUUGCUUAAUAAACCUUUUUAUAUGUGAAAUCUAUAUAAAUACUAUAUUAAGAAUAUAAUACAACUUUCAGCAACGGAUCUCUUGGCUCUCGCAUCGAUGAAGAACGCAGC